rnacentral:rRNA from 1 species
CCUACGGGGUGCAGCAGUAGGGAAUCUUUCACAAUGGGCGAAAGCCUGAUGGAGCAACGCCGCGUGCAGGAUGAAGGCCUUCGGGUUGUAAACUGCUUUUAUAAGCGAGAAAUAUGAUGGUAACUUAUGAAUAAGGAUCGGCUAACUACGUGCCAGCAGCCGCGGUCAUACGUAGGAUCCGAGAAUUAUCCGGGGUGACUGGGUGUAAAGAGUUGCGUAGGUGGCAUAAUAAGUAGCUAGUGAAAUCUGGUGGCUCAACCAUUCAGACUAUUAGCUAAACUGUUAAGCUCGAGACCGUUAGGGGUAACUGGAAUUUCUAGUGUAGGAGUGAAAUCCGUAGAUAUUAGAAGGAACACCAAUAGCGUAGGCAGGUUGCUGGGACGGUUCUGACACUAAGGGACGAAAGCGUAGGGAGCAAACGGGAUUAGAUACCCCUGUAGUC